rnacentral:rRNA from 1 species
AACGAACGCUGGCGGCAGGCUUAACACAUGCAAGUCGAACGGUACAGCAAUGUACAGUGGCGCACGGGUGAGUAACGCGUGGGAAUAUGCCCUUUAGUACGGAAUAGCCUCGGGAAACUGGGAUUAAUACCGUAUACGCCCUUCGGGGGAAAGAUUUAUCGCUAAAGGAUUAGCCCGCGUGAGAUUAGGUAGUCGGUGGGGUAAUGGCCUACCAAGCCUACGAUCUCUAGCUGGUCUGAGAGGAUGAUCAGCCACACUGGAACUGAGACACGGUCCAGACUCCUACGGGAGGCAGCAGUGGGGAAUAUUGGGCAAUGGACGAAAGUCUGACCCAGCCAUGCCGCGUGAGUGAUGAAGGCCUUAGGGUUGUAAAGCUCUUUCGUUGGUGACGAUAAUGACGGUAACCAAAGAAGAAGCCCCGGCUAACUUCGUGCCAGCCGCCGCAGUAA